CGCUCCAUCAGCUCUUGGAGCAUACAGAAAUUUAAAUCCCAAUGGGAUCCAAAGGAAAUAAACAUAAAUCCCUAUGGGAAUCCAAAAAAAAAAAUGAUGAAUCUAGAAUUCGCCUCUUCGCUCCAUCAGCUCUUGGAGCAUACAGAAAUUUAAAUCCCAAUGGGAUCCAAAGGAAAUAAACAUAAAUCCCUAUGGGAAUCCAAAAAAAAAAAUGAUGAAUCUAGAAUUCGCCUCUUCGCUCCAUCAGCUCUUGGAGCAUACAGAAAUUUAAAUCCCAAUGGGAUCCAAAGGAAAUAAACAUAAAUCCCUAUGGGAAUCCAAAAAAAAAAAUGAUGAAUCUAGAAUUCGCCUCUUCGCUCCAUCAGCUCUUGGAGCAUACAGAAAUUUAAAUCCCAACGGGAUCCAAAGGAAAUAAACAUACAUCCCUGUGGGAAUCCAAAAAAAAAUGAAUCUAGAAUUCGCCUCUUUGCUCCAUCAGCUCUCGGAGCAUCCUUGAAAGUAAAAGGCAUAGCCUCAAAAUGACUCCAUAUUUCGCCUCUUCGCUCCAUCAGCUCUUGGAGCAUACAGAAAUUUAAAUCCCAACGGGAUCCAAAGGAAACAAACAUACAUCCCUAUGGGAAUCCAAAAAAAAAAACACAAAAAACAACAACAUGAAUCUAGAAUUCGCCUCUUUGCUCCAUCAGCUCUCGGAGCAUCUUUGAAAGUAAAAGGCAUUGCCCCAAAAUGACUCCAUAUUUCGCCUCUUCGCUCCAUCAGCUCUUGGAACAUCCUUGAAAGUAAAAGGCAUAGCCUCAAAAUGACUCUAUAUUUCGCCUCUUCGCUCCAUCAGCUCUUGGAGCAUCCUUGAAAGUAAAAGGCAUAGCCUAAAAAUGACUCUAUAUUUCGCCUCUUCCCUCCAUCAGCUCUCGGAGCAUCCUUAAAAGUAAAGGCAUAGCCUCAAAAUGGCUCCAUAAUUCGGCUCUUUGCUCCAACAGCUCUUCGAGCGUCCAAUUUUUGAAGCGCCCCCCUGUGUGGCGUCUCAUUUGUGAGGUGUCCCGCCUAUGAGGCGCCCCGCCUGUGAGGCGUCUCGCUUAUGAGGCGUCCUUAAAUACAGCUCUUGGAGCGUUCUUAAUGGCUCUUUGAUUGUCCAAUUUAUGAAGCAUUCUCAAUUGCUCAUUGAGCGUCCAAUUCAUGAAGCAUCUUAAUACAGCUCUUAAAGCGUCUAGCUCAGCGAGCGUCCUUCAAAUGGUAGACAAAGCCCUACAACGGGUCUCAGGUAUCACGCCUCCUCACUACAUUCUUUCACUAGCUCGGCGAGCGUCCUUUAAAUGGCAGGCAAAGCCCUACAACAGGUCUCAGGCAAAGCCCUACAACAGGUCUCAGGCAUUACGCCUCCUCACUACAUCGCUUCACUAGCUCAGCGAGCAUCCUUCAAAUGGCAGGCAAAGCCCUACAACGGGUCUCAGGUAUCACGCCUCUUCACUACAUCGCUUCACUAGCUCAAAGAGCGUCCUUCGAAGCCCUACAACGGGUCUCCAGUAUCACGCUUCCUCACUACAUCGCUUCACUAGCUCAGCGAGCGUCCUUCAAAUGGCAGGCAAAGCCUUACAACGGGUCUCAGGUAUCACGCCCUAAGGCUUCAUCUGCCCAAGCACAUCACCUUCGAGAUAAGCCCGCUUUGCGCGCAAACUAGAAUGUGAAUCAAGGCAUCUACAUUAACUUCAUUAUCAGUAUCCAAUAGUUCACCAAUACUUGCUUCCAGCUCCUCAACUUCACAGCUUCUAUUGCC
rnacentral:lncRNA from 1 species